CCUACGGGAGGCAGCAGUGGGGAAUAUUGGACAAUGGGGGCAACCCUGAUCCAGCCAUGCCGCGUGUGUGAAGAAGGCCCUCGGGUUGUAAAGCACUUUCAGUGAGGAAGAACGCCUGGUGGUUAAUACCCAUCAGGAAAGACAUCACUCACAGAAGAAGCACCGGCUAACUCCGUGCCAGCAGCCGCAGUAAUACGGAGGGUGCGAGCGUUAAUCGGAAUUACUGGGCGUAAAGCGCGCGUAGGUGGCUUGAUAAGCCGGUUGUGAAAGCCCCGGGCUCAACCUGGGAACGGCAUCCGGAACUGUCAAGCUAGAGUGCAGGAGAGGAAGGUAGAAUUCCCGGUGUAGCGGUGAAAUGCGUAGAGAUCGGGAGGAAUACCAGUGGCGAAGGCGGCCUUCUGGACUGACACUGACACUGAGGUGCGAAAGCGUGGGUAGCAAACAGGAUUAGAUACCCCUGUAGUC
rnacentral:rRNA from 1 species